GAUGAUCCUCUAGCCCUCAAUAUGCUAUGACAUGAUGUGGAAUGAUAUGAUAUGGCAUGUACGAUAUGAUAUGAGAUGAGAAGUCCAGGUGUGGCCGUAUCGCCCCUGGCAUAGAGCAUGAGAAGUCCAGGUGUGGCCGUAUCGCCCCUGGCAUAGAGUAUGUGAAGUCCAGGCGUGGCCGUAUCGCCCCUGGCAUAGAGUAUUGUUGACUUGUUAUGGUACGAGAUUGAUAUGUAGAGGGCUAUUGGUGACAGAUUCAUCCUUGAGGUGAUAUAUUUGUGAUGUGACGCAUUCCAUGAUAGCAUAUGUUAAAAUGAACUGUUUUCUUUUAUGGUUUCUGCUCACUGGGCUUUUUAGCUCACCCCUCUCCCCUAACCCCAGGUUUGCAGGGUCAGAGAUAGUCAGGAGAUCAGCAAGUUACGUCCAUGGUCAUGUUUAUGUAAUAGAAUAGUAGUGGAC
rnacentral:lncRNA from 1 species